rnacentral:pre_miRNA from 1 species
UCUAGCUAGUUGGCUAGCUAGUUGCUAGCUAGUUGGCUAGCUACUAGCUAGUUGUUGGCUACUAGCUACUAGCUACUAGCUAGCUAGUUGGCUGGCA